CCGGCCGCGACUUUGCGUUUUACACCCUGGCCUGGACAUUUUCCCGGUAAAUAGCAAUGAAACUGCUUGAAUGAGUCUAGUCUACGCUCCUCGAUCGGGCGCGCCAGUUCCAAAUCGAAUCGUACAUGCACAGACGUACGUCGAUGCAGCAUUUAUACACACCGUACGCAGCUGCAAUACUGAAGAUUAAGGGAGAAGAUAUAGGAUUUCAAGUUCAGAACAACAAGUUAAGAAGCUUGCUGCACGAUGGAAUUCAUCGAGGAUGAUGACGGAGUGGCAAUGCAGACGCCUUUGCGGGUAUGAAUACUGUAAAUCCAGUUUUGAAUUGUAGUUAUAUGAGUACGAUUAACUGUAACUGUUAGGCAUCCAUAGUUAGCAAAACUAAGAGUAAGACUAAGUGAGUCGCUGCACAGUAAAAAUAUUUUCACGUAUCAUCCAUUAUUAUGUGUAUUCAGUUCGUUAUCUCCAAAGUAAAGUGCGGUGCACGCCUCUGCGCCCAUGAAUCCGCCUAUGUUCAGAUCUCUUUUUAUCUACAUGUGCAUGUAUUUUCAAAUAAAAAUUUCUUAUAGUCAUUUCUUGCAUCUAAAUCUUAACACACUGUCAAAUUAUCUGUUCAAAUUUCUACUAUUGUUUGCUUUCACUUUUACUACAUAUUUCUUCUUUAUAUAACUAUUUAUGCAUACACAUACUCCUGUAUCUUUUGUAUUACUUCUCUGACAUUGAAGGAUUAGAUUACCUUCACGAAAAAAAAAAGUAUAUGAAUGUAAAGCAGUAAAUAAAGUGCAAAUGAAUUCAUGUAAAA
rnacentral:lncRNA from 1 species